GGCCCGUUCGUCUAUCGGUUAGGACAUAAGAUUUUCAAUCUUAUAAGAGGGGUUCGACUCCCCUACGGGCUA
rnacentral:tRNA from 1 species